rnacentral:rRNA from 1 species
UGGGGAAUAUUGCACAAUGGGCGCAAGCCUGAUGCAGCCAUGCCGCGUGUGUGAAGAAGGCCUUCGGGUUGUAAAGCACUUUCAGCGAGGAGGAAGGCGUUAAGGUUAAUAACCUUAGCGAUUGACGUUACUCGCAGAAGAAGCACCGGCUAACUCCGUGCCAGCAGCCGCGGUAAUACGGAGGGUGCAAGCGUUAAUCGGAAUUACUGGGCGUAAAAGCGCACGCAGGCGGUUUGUUAAGUCAGAUGUGAAAUCCCCGAGCUUAACUU